GUGUCAGCCGCCGCGGUAAUACGUAGGGGGCAAGCGUUGUCCGGAUUUAUUGGGCGUAAAGAGCGUGUAGGCGGCCAUGUAGGUCCGAUGUGAAAACUGGGGGCUCAACCUCCAGCUGUCGUCGGAAACCAUGUGGCUAGAGUCCGGAAGAGGAGAGUGGAAUUCCUGGUGUAGCGGUGAAAUGCGCAGAUAUCAGGAAGAACACCUAUGGCGAAGGCAGCUCUCUGGGACGGUACUGACGCUGAGACGCGAAAGCGUGGGGAGCGAACAGGAUUAGAUACCCUAGUAGUCC
rnacentral:rRNA from 1 species